GACGAACGCUGGCGGCGUGCUUAACACAUGCAAGUCGAACGGUAAGGCCCUUCGGGGUACACGAGUGGCGAACGGGUGAGUAACACGUGGGUGAUCUGCCCUGCACUUUGGGAUAAGCCUGGGAAACUGGGUCUAAUACCGAAUAGGACUCCGGACUGCAUGGUCUGGGGUGGAAAGCUUUUGCGGUGUGGGAUGGGCCCGCGGCCUAUCAGCUUGUUGGUGGGGUGAUGGCCUACCAAGGCGACGACGGGUAGCCGGCCUGAGAGGGUGACCGGCCACACUGGGACUGAGAUACGGCCCAGACUCCUACGGGAGGCAGCAGUGGGGAAUAUUGCACAAUGGGCGCAAGCCUGAUGCAGCGACGCCGCGUGAGGGAUGACGGCCUUCGGGUUGUAAACCUCUUUCAGCACAGACGAAGCGCAAGUGACGGUAUGUGCAGAAGAAGGACCGGCCAACUACGUGCCAGCAGCCGCUGUAAAAC
rnacentral:rRNA from 1 species